UACGUAGGGUGCGAGCGUUGUCCGGAAUUAUUGGGCGUAAAGGGCGCGUAGGCGGUCUACUAAGUUGGAUGUGAAAACUCUGGGCUUAACUCAGAGCCUGCAUUCAAAACUGAUAGGCUGGAGUUCUGGAGGGGAUAGCGGAAUUCCUGGUGUAGCGGUGAAAUGCGUAGAUAUCAGGAGGAACACCGGUGGCGAAGGCGGCUAUCUGGACAGAAACUGACGCUGAGGCGCGAAAGCUAGGGGAGCAAACAGG
rnacentral:rRNA from 1 species